AUUGAACGCUGGCGGCAGGCUUAACACAUGCAAGUCGAGCGGGGAUAGGGUGCUUGCACCUGAUUCCUAGCGGCGGACGGGUGAGUAAUGCUUAGGAAUCUGCCUAUUAGUGGGGGACAACGUUCCGAAAGGGACGCUAAUACCGCAUACGUCCUACGGGAGAAAGCAGGGGAUCUUCGGACCUUGCGCUAAUAGAUGAGCCUAAGUCGGAUUAGUUAGUUGGUGGGGUAAAGGCCUACCAAGGCGACGAUCUGUAGCGGGUCUGAGAGGAUGAUCCGCCACACUGGGACUGAGACACGGCCCAGACUCCUACGGGAGGCAGCAGUGGGGAAUAUUGGACAAUGGGGGGAACCCUGAUCCAGCCAUGCCGCGUGUGAAGAAGGCCUUUUGGUUGUAAAGCACUUUAAGCGAGGAGGAGGCUUACCUGGUUAAUACCUGGGAUAAGUGGACGUUACUCGCAGAAUAAGCACCGGCUAACUCUGUGCCAGCAGCCGCCGCAG
rnacentral:rRNA from 1 species